UAUACUUCAAAAUAAGAUUUCCGCUGGGAGACUGGUGCGAGUUUUGCAAUAUCUUCGGAAAAAAGAAACGAGAGCAUCACGAAUAACGAACAAAGAUAGAGCGAUAAACCCUGGGUAAACCUAUUAUCAAUGAGAAUAGUUUAGUGUAGGAGUUUUAUUGUGAUGAAGUUGUUGGUAUUUGAUUGAAUCAGUAUGCUAGAAAUUCAUUCUCCUCAAGAUUCUUGUUUUGGUAGUGAAUCUUGAAGAAUUAUUCCUGCUUCCUGUGGUGCAGAGUUUCGUGCUUCUUCUAGCAAUGUAUUAAGACCAUUGGAAUAUUUUCGAGCGAGUUAUCUGCUGGAACUAUGGUGUUAUCUAGAUGAAAAAGUGGAUUUUCUCGAUAAAGUGGGCUGAGUCUAUCCCAUUUC